UGGCGACCAUAGCGUUGUGGACCCACCUGAUCCCAUGCCGAACUCAGAAGUGAAACGCAAUAGCGCCGAUGGUAGUGUGGGGCUUCCCCAUGUGAGAGUAGGACAUCGCCA
rnacentral:rRNA from 2 species